rnacentral:rRNA from 1 species
GUCCACGCCGUAAACGAUGAUAACUAGGUGUUGCGGGUAUUUACCCCUGCAGUGCCGCAGCUAACGCAUUAAGUUCUCCGCCUGGGAAGUACGGUCGCAAGACUAAAACUCAAAGGAAUUGACGGGGGCCCCGCACAAGCGGUGGAGCAUGUGGUUUAAUUCGACGCAACGCGCAGAACCUUACCUGGUCUUGACAUCUACGGAACCUUAGUGAAAGCUAGGGGUGCCUUUCGGGGAGCCGUAAGACAGGUGCUGCAUGGCUGUCGU